AUUCGUCCAACGGAAGUAGAGGAAAGUGGCGGACGGGUGAGUAAUGCGUGAGCAACCUGCCCUUCAGAGGGGGACAACAGUUGGAAACGACUGCUAAUACCGCAUAAUGUAUCCGGGAGGCAUCUCUGUACCGUCAAAGAUUUAUCGCUGAAGGAUGGGCUCACGUCUGAUUAGCUUGUUGGUGAGGUAACGGCUCACCAAGGCGACGAUCAGUAGCCGGACUGAGAGGUUGACCGGCCACAUUGGGACUGAGAUACGGCCCAAACUCC
rnacentral:rRNA from 1 species